rnacentral:tRNA from 4 species
GCGGCUGUGGCGGAAUGGUAGACGCGGCGGAUUCAAAAUCCGCUUCUGGUGACAGAGUGGGGGUUCAAGUCCCUUCAGCCGUACCA